AGCUGGCCAAGAGUCCGCAGGAUGCAGUGGACGAAGGUGUUGGGGCUGGGGCUGGGGGCUGCUGCCCUCUUGGGGCUGGGGAUCAUCCUUGGCCACUUUGCCAUCCCCAAAAAAGCCAACUCACCGGCCCCCCAGGACCUGGACCUGGAGAUCCUGGAGACCGUCAUGGAGCAGCUGGAUGCCCACAGGAUCCGGGAGAACCUCAGGUGAGAGGUGGGGCCAUCUGCUCCUCCGUUUGCCAGAGGCCCCCUCCCUGAUGCUGGCCCUGCCCCUCCCUCUGCCCACCCUGCAGAGAACUCUCCAGGGAGCCACACCUGGCCUCCAGCCCUCGGGAUGAGGACCUGGUGCAGCUGCUGCUGCAGCGCUGGAAGGACCCAGAGUCAGGCCUGGACUCGGCCGAGGCCUCCACGUACGAAGUGCUGCUGUCCUUCCCUAGCCAGGAGCAGCCCAACGUCGUGGACAUCGUGGGCCCCACUGGGGGCAUCAUCCACUCCUGCCACCGGACUGAGGAGAACGUGACCGGGGAGCAAGGGGGGCCAGAUGUGGUACAACCCUAUGCUGCCUAUGCUCCUUCUGGAACCCCACAGGGCCUCCUCGUCUAUGCCAACCGGGGCGCGGAAGAAGACUUUAAGGAGCUACAGACUCAGGGCAUCAAACUUGAAGGCACCAUCGCCCUGACUCGCUAUGGGGGUGUAGGGCGUGGGGCCAAGGCUGUGAACGCUGCCAAGCACGGGAUAGCCGGGGUGCUGGUGUACACAGACCCUGCUGACAUCAACGAUGGGCUGAGCUCACCCGACGAAACCUUUCCCAACUCCUGGUACCUGCCCCCCUCAGGAGUGGAGCGAGGCUCCUACUACGAGUAUUUUGGGGACCCUCUGACUCCCUACCUUCCAGCCGUCCCCUCUUCCUUCCGCGUGGACCUUGCCAAUGUCUCCGGAUUUCCCCCAAUUCCUACACAGCCCAUUGGCUUCCAGGAUGCAAGAGACCUGCUCUGGGCCUCUUCCUCCUCCCCAGUAACCUCAACGGAACUUUGGCCCCAGCCACCUGGCAGGGAGCACUGGGCUGCCACUACAGGUUGGGUCCCGGCUUCCGGGCUGACGGAGACUUCCCAGCAGACAGCCAGGUGAAUGUGAGCGUCUACAACCGCCUGGAGCUGAGGAACUCUUCCAACGUCCUGGGCAUCAUCCGUGGGGCUGUGGAGCCUGAUCGCUACGUGCUGUAUGGGAACCACCGAGACAGCUGGGUGCACGGGGCUGUGGACCCCAGCAGUGGCACCGCCAUCCUCCUGGAGCUCUCCCGUGUCCUGGGGACCCUGCUGAAGAAGGGCACCUGGCGUCCUCGCAGAUCAAUCGUGUUUGCGAGCUGGGGGGCUGAGGAGUUUGGGCUCAUUGGCUCCACGGAAUUCACAGAAGAGUUCUUCAACAAGCUGCAGGAGCGCACGGUGGCCUACAUCAACGUGGACAUCUCGGUGUUUGCCAACGCUACCCUUAGGGUGCAGGGGACGCCCCCUGUCCAGAGUGUCGUCUUCUCUGCAACCAAAGAGAUCCGCUCACCAGGCCCUGGCGACCUGAGCAUCUACGACAACUGGAUCCGGUACUUCAACCGCAGCAGCCCGGUGUACGGCCUGGUCCCCAGCUUGGGUUCUCUGGGUGCUGGCAGCGACUAUGCACCCUUCAUUCACUUCCUGGGCAUCUCCUCCAUGGACAUCGCCUAUACGUAUGACCGGAGCAAGACUUCAGCCAGGAUCUACCCCACCUACCAUACAGCCUUUGACACCUUUGACUAUGUGGACAAGUUUUUGGACCCAGGCUUCAGCAGCCAUCAGGCUGUGGCCCGGACAGCGGGGAGUGUGAUUCUCCGGCUCAGUGACAGCUUCUUCCUGCCCCUCAAAGUCAGUGACUACAGUGAGACACUCCGCAGCUUCCUGCAGGCAGCCCAGCAAGAUCUCGGGGCCCUGCUGGAGCAGCACAGCAUCAGCCUGGGUAGGCACAGCCCUGACCCUGAGGUAUGGGGAGCCCUGCACCCCCAGGACUGAGCCACUGCUUGUUCCUCACAGGGCCUCUGGUGACUGCAGUGGAGAAGUUUGAGGCAGAAGCUGCAGCCUUGGGCCAACGCAUAUCAACACUGCAGAAGGGCAGCCCUGACCCCCUGCAGGUCCGGAUGCUCAAUGACCAGUUGAUGCUCUUGGAACGGACCUUUCUGAACCCUAGAGCCUUCCCAGAGGAACGCUACUACAGCCAUGUGCUCUGGGCACCUCGCACGGGCUCCGUAGUCACAUUCCCGGGCCUAUCCAAUGCCUGCUCCAGGGCCAGGGACACAGCUUCUGGAUCUGAAGCUUGGGCUGAGGUCCAGAGACAGCUCAGCAUUGUGGUGACAGCCCUGGAGGGUGCGGCAGCCACCCUGAGGCCUGUGGCUGACCUCUGACCCCAGCCCUCUUUCUUCAGCCCUCCCUUUACUCC
rnacentral:sRNA from 1 species